rnacentral:rRNA from 1 species
UACGUAGGGUGCAAGCGUUAAUCGGAAUUACUGGGCGUAAAGCGUGCGCAGGCGGUUAUGUAAGACAGGUGUGAAAUCCCCCGGCUUAACCUGGGAACUGCGUCUGAUACUGGAAGGCUUGAGUAUGGGAGAGGGAUGUAGAAUUCCAGGUGUAGCGGUGAAAUGCGUAGAUAUCUGGAGGAAUACCGGUGGCGAAGGCGGCAUCCUGGACCAUUACUGACGCUGAGGCGCGAAAGCUAGGGGAGCAAACGGG